rnacentral:rRNA from 1 species
UACGGGGGGGGCAAGCGUUGUUCGGAAUUACUGGGCGUAAAGGGCUUGUAGGCGGCCAACUAAGUCAGACGUGAAAUCCCUCGGCUUAACCGGGGAACUGCGUCUGAUACUGGAUGGCUAGAGAUUGGGAGAGGGAUGCGGAAUUCCAGGUGUAGCGGUGAAAUGCGUAGAUAUCUGGAAGAACACCGGUGGCGCAAGCGGCUUGCUGGGCUGUAACUGACGCUGAGGAACGAAAGCUAGGGUAGCGAAUGGG